rfam:Cathartes aura contig80074, whole genome shotgun sequence.
GUUUCAGUAGUGUAGUGAUUAUCACAUUCACCUAACACGCAAAAGGUCCUGGGUUCGAAACCAGGCGGAAACA